CAAUAGCGUAUAUUAAAGUUGUUGCAGUUAAAAAGCUCGUAGUUGGAUUUCUGGUGGGAGCGAUCGGUCUGGCGCUUAGCGCGGGUACUUGCAUCGUCUCCGGCCAUCCUUGGGGAAAGUCUGUCUGGCAUUAAGUUGUCGGGCAGAGGAUCCUCAUCGUUUACUGUGAAAAAAUUAGAGUGUUCAAAGCAGGCUUAUGCCGUUGAAUAUAUUAGCAUGGAAUAAUAAGAUAGGACUUUGGUACUAUUUUGUUGGUUUGCGCACCAAAGUAAUGAUUAAUAGGGACAGUUGGGGGUAUUCGUAUUCCGUUGUCAGAGGUGAAAUUCUUGGAUUUACGGAAGACGAACUACUGCGAAAGCAUUUACCAAGGAUGUUUUCAUUAA
rnacentral:rRNA from 1 species